AGCCUAUGCUGCUGCUUUGCCUAUGAAGCAGCUAUUCUUUAUUCCUUUACUUUCUUAAUAUACUUCCUUUCAUUUUACUCUGUGGACUCGCCCUGAAUUCUCUCUUGCACGAGAUCCAACAACCCUCUCUUGAGGUUUGGACUGGGACCCCUUUCUGAUGGAUGUGCAUGUCAUUUGGUGCCAAAGACCCAGGUCACAGGGAUUCCUUCGGGAGACCAGGCCCCUGUCCUCACUCUCACUCCAUGAAGGGAUCCACCUAUGACCUCGAGUCCUUAGACCAACCAGCCCAAGGAACAUCUCACCAAUCUCAAAUUGGAGCCCAUCUACACACAGCAAAAUAUCUCACAAUGAAUUCCCAUCCACAGCCUCAGCAAUGGGCUGGUGUGUCCCCAGAGAAUGUCAGCUGAUUGGACAGCAGUCUGCAGGAGAAGGUGAAUCCCCUAAUUUGGAAGGAACUGAAGCAUGAAAAGAUGCUGAGAUCACAAUGAAAACAGACAAAGUCUUCUGGGGAUGAAAUGUUAAAAAGGGGAGAUGUGCAAGGAACACAGGAAGAAUAAGUUCAGGAGAUCUGUUAUACAACAUGGGGAUGAUAGUUAAUAACAAUGCAUGGUACAUUUGGGGAUUGCUAAAGGAACACCUUGUAAAGAUUUCCACCCUUCCUCUUGAAUGAUAAGUAUGAAAUGUGACGGAUAUAUUUCUUAGCUUGAUGUAGCUGUUCCACCGUGUGUGCAUAUAUCAAAACAUCACGUUGUAUCCCAUAAAUGUAUAUCGUUUAAAUUUGUUAAUUAAAAUAAUAAAUAAUAAAGAAC
rnacentral:lncRNA from 1 species